UACCUUGCGCAGUGGCAGUAUCGUAACCAGUGAAGGUCUCCUGAGGUGCGAUUGUUGCUAGUUGAAAACUGGUUACGAAAUAU
rnacentral:snRNA from 1 species